rnacentral:rRNA from 1 species
AUUGAACGCUGGCGGCAUGCCUUACACAUGCAAGUCGAACGGCAGCACGGGUGCUUGCACCUGGUGGCGAGUGGCGAACGGGUGAGUAAUACAUCGGAACGUACCUUAUCGUGGGGGAUAACGCAGCGAAAGCUGUGCUAAUACCGCAUACGCCCUGAGGGGGAAAGCGGGGGAUCGCAAGACCUCGCGCGAUUAGAGCGGCCGAUGCCCGAUUAGCUCGUUGGUGGGGUAAAAGCCCACCAAGGCGACGAUCAGUAGCUGGUCUGAGAGGACGACCAGCCACCCUGGGACUGAGACACGGCCCAGACUCCUACCGGAGGCAGCAGUGGGGAAAUUUCGACAAUGGGAGCAACCCUGAUCCAGCAAUGCGGCGUGACUGAAGAAGGACUUCGGGUUGUAAAGCUCUUUUGUCAGGGAAGAAACACAGGCUCUAACACAGUCUGGGAAUGACGGUACCUGAAGAAUAAGCACCGGCUAACUACGUGCCAGCCGCCGCAGUAA